UGCAAGUUUUAAGAAAAAUUAGAAAAAAUUUAUAAGUUAAUAAAUAAAUUUUAAAAAAAUAUAGUGUUUUGUGCUGUGUUGUUGUUCAUAAUUUAAUGAUUGUGUCCGUCCGCUUUACUUUUCAUCAAAGCACUAAACAUUGCACGUACGUGAAUGUGAAUGAGGAAAGGCCGCCUAGCAUUUAAGAAAUAUUUACGCUUAAGAUUCUUGUUCCAAUUAUUGCUUCCAAAUAAAAAAAAAUAAUCAAUACCACUUCAUUUGCGUAUAAUCAAAAA